UACGGAGGGUGCAAGCGUUAAUCGGAAUAACUGGGCGUAAAGGAUGCGUAGGUGGAAUUUUAAGUGAGAUGUGAAAUACCCGGGCUCAACCUGGGAACUGCAUUUCGAACUGUCCGACUAGAGUCUUGUAGAGGGGGGUAGAAUUCCAGGUGUAGCGGUGAAAUGCGUAGAGAUCUGGAGGAAUACCGGUGGCGAAGGCGGCCCCCUGGACAAAGACUGACGCUCAGGUGCGAAAGCGUGGGGAGCAAAC
rnacentral:rRNA from 1 species